rnacentral:rRNA from 1 species
AACGAACGCUGGCGGCAGGCCUAACACAUGCAAGUCGAGCGCCCCGCAAGGGGAGCGGCGGACGGGUGAGUAACGCGUGGGAACGUACCCUUUGCUACGGAAUAGCCUCGGGAAACUGGGAGUAAUACCGUAUGUGCCCUUCGGGGGAAAGAUUUAUCGGCAAAGGAUCGGCCCGCGUUGGAUUAGGUAGUUGGUGGGGUAAUGGCCUACCAAGCCGACGAUCCAUAGCUGGUUUGAGAGGAUGAUCAGCCACACUGGGACUGAGACACGGCCCAGACUCCUACGGGAGGCAGCAGUGGGGAAUCUUAGACAAUGGGCGCAAGCCUGAUCUAGCCAUGCCGCGUGAGCGAUGAAGGCCUUAGGGUUGUAAAGCUCUUUCAGUGGGGAAGAUAAUGACUGUACCACAGAAGAAGCCCCGGCUAACUCCGUGCCAGCAGCCGCGGUAAACACCGAGAGUA